GACGAACGCUGGCGGCGUGCUUAACACAUGCAAGUCGAACGGAAAGGCCCUGCUUUUGUGGGGUGCUCGAGUGGCGAACGGGUGAGUAACACGUGAGUAACCUGCCCUUGACUUUGGGAUAACUUCAGGAAACUGGGGCUAAUACCGGAUAGGAGCUCCUGCUGCAUGGUGGGGGUUGGAAAGUUUCGGCGGUUGGGGAUGGACUCGCGGCUUAUCAGCUUGUUGGUGGGGUAGUGGCUUACCAAGGCUUUGACGGGUAGCCGGCCUGAGAGGGUGACCGGCCACAUGGGGACUGAGAUACGGCCCAGACUCCUACGGGAGGCAGCAGUGGGGAAUAUUGCACAAUGGGCGGAAGCCUGAGGCAGAAACGCCGCGUGCGGGAGGACGGCCUUCGGGUUGGAAACCGCUUUCGCCUGUGACGAAGCGUGAGUGACGGUAAUGGGUAAAGAAGCACCGGCUAACUACGU
rnacentral:rRNA from 1 species